AUUUCCAAGUAUUUUAUUUCUAUCAUCUAGUCACCUGAUUAACAACUGGCUAAUCUCCAUUCAACAGCGACUAAUUCAACUCAUAUUAAAACAAAUGAUAAUAAUACAUAAUACCAAUGGAUGAAGCUGAUCCCUUAUACUAAUUUCAUGUAUUCUGUUUAUUGGCUCAACUAAUUUACUAGGAGGCUUCCCACUCACACCAACUACUCAACUCUCAAUAAAUUUAGGUAUAGCUAUUCCAGUAUGAGCAGGAGCAGUAAUUACUGGUUUUUGUCACAAAACAAAAGCAUCCCUUGCUUAUUUCCUACCACAAGGAAUGCCUAUUUAACUUCUCUCUUUUCUAGUCAUCGUCAAAACCAUUAGCCUUUUCAUUCAACCAAUAGCCUUACCCAUAUGAUUGACAGCCAAUAUUACAACUGUAAAUGUAAAUUAUACAUUUAACUGGAGGUGCCAUCUUAGUAUCAACAUCUAUUAGCCUACCCACAGCCUCAGUCCCAUUUAUUACCUUGAUUUUACUAGCCGUUCUUGAAUUUGCCAUGGUUUUAAUCCAAGCAUAUGUUUU
rnacentral:lncRNA from 1 species